GACGAACGCUGGCGGCGUGCUUAACACAUGCAAGUCGAACGGUAAGGCCCUUCGGGGUACACGAGGCGAACGGGUGAGUAACACGUGGGUGAUCUGCCCUGCACUUUGGGAUAAGCCUGGGAAACUGGGUCUAAUACCGGAUAGGACCGCGCACUGAUGGUGUGUGGUGGAACGCUUUUGCGGUGUGGGAUGGGCCCGCGGCCUAUCAGCUUGUUGGUGGGGUAAUGGCCCACCAAGGCGACGACGGGUAGCCGGCCUGAGAGGGUGUCCGGCCACACUGGGACUGAGAUACGGCCCAGACUCCUACGGGAGGCAGCAGUGGGGAAUAUUGCACAAUGGGCGCAAGCCUGAUGCAGCGACGCCGCGUGGGGGAUGACGGCCUUCGGGUUGUAAACCUCUUUCAGUAGGGACGAAGCGCAAGUGACGGUACCUACAGAAGAAGCACCGGCCAACUACGUGCCAGCCGCCGCCGUAA
rnacentral:rRNA from 1 species